rnacentral:rRNA from 1 species
ACGCCAGACUCCUACGGGAGGCAGCAGUGGGGAAUAUUGCACAAUGGGGGAAACCCUGAUGCAGCGACGCCGCGUGAGUGAAGAAGUAUUUCGGUAUGUAAAGCUCUAUCAGCAGGGAAGAAAAUGGCGGUACCUGACUAAGAAGCCCCGGCUAACUACGUGCCAGCAGCCGCGGUAAUACGUAGGGGGCAAGCGUUAUCCGGAUUUACUGGGUGUAAAGGGAGCGUAGACGGCAUGGCAAGUCAGAUGUGAAAGCCCGGGGCUCAACCCCGGGACUGCUCUUGGAACUGCAUGGCUGGAGUACAGGAGGGGCAGGCGGAAUUCCUAGUGUAGCGGUGAAAUGCGUAGAUAUUAGGAGGAACACCGGUGGCGAAGGCGGCCUGCUGGACUGUGACUGACGUUGAGGCCCGAAGGCGUGGGGAGCAAACAGGAUUAGAUACCCGAGUAG